UGGGGGAUAUUGCACAAUGGGCGAAAGCCUGAUGCAGCGACGCCGCGUGGGGGAUGAAGGCCUUCGGGUUGUAAACUUCUUUUGCUCUGAACAAGGCAUGCUAAUGGGUGUGUUGAGUGUAGGGGUUGAUUAGCGCCGGCUAACUACGUGCCAGCAGCCGCGGUAAUACGUAGGGCGCGAGCGUUGUCCGGAAUUAUUGGGCGUAAAGGGCUUGUAGGUGGCUGGUUGCGUCUGUCGUGAAAGCUCAUGGCUUAACUGUGGGUUUGCGGUGGGUACGGGCUGGCUUGAGUGCAGUAGGGGAGGCUGGAAUUCCUGGUGUAGCGGUGGAAUGCGCAGAUGUCAGGAGGAAUACCGGUGGCGAAGGCGGGUCUCUGGGCUGUUACUGACACUGAGGAGCGAAAGCAUGGGGAGCGAACAGG
rnacentral:rRNA from 1 species